GGGAGAGACUGAAGAAGCCAGUCUGUGUUGCAUUUCCGGCAGCCGAAGGCACAGCCUUUAUAAGUGAUGAAGACUACGCCCAGCACAAUGGCCAGGAGGAAGCCGAUCACAUCCAAAGAAUGGUACUGGUACCAGCGUUGAUAGCUGAAUUGGAACAACCACGUCCAAACUGGGUUAGAUGCUACAGCCCUCAGUGUGGAUGCACCGCAAGAAGAAAGAGAAGGUGGAGGGAGA